UACGAAGGGGGCUAGCGUUGUUCGGAAUUACUGGGCGUAAAGGGCGCGUAGGCGGCUUGUUUAGUCAGAGGUGAAAGCCCAGGGCUCAACCUUGGAAUUGCCUUUGAUACUGGCUGUCUUGAGUACGGUAGAGGUAUGUGGAACUCCGAGUGUAGAGGUGAAAUUCGUAGAUAUUCGGAAGAACACCAGUGGCGAAGGCGACAUACUGGUCCGUUACUGACGCUGAGGCGCGAAAGCGUGGGGAGCAAACAGG
rnacentral:rRNA from 1 species